UAUUUUAAUUACUCCGGUGUCCUUAAAUC
rnacentral:piRNA from 1 species